GUUUAUUUUACCAAUACCUCCAAUGUUCCCCAACAUUUAAACAUAGCAGUCUCCAGGAUAAUGUAACAUGACAGUUUAUGCCAUAACAGUUUAGGUUAUGGCCCUUUUGUAAAAAUAGAAAUGCCUA